rnacentral:rRNA from 1 species
CAAACGACUCUCGGCACGGAUAUCUUGGCUCUCGCAUCGAUGAAGAACGUAGCGAAAUGCGGAACUUGGUGUGAAUUGCAGAAUCCCGUGAACCAUCGAGUCUUUGAACGCAAGUUGCGCCCGAAGCCAUUAGGCCGAGGGCACGUCUGCCUGGGCGUCACGC